rnacentral:rRNA from 1 species
UACGGAGGGAGCUAGCGUUGUUCGGAAUUACUGGGCGUAAAGCGCGCGUAGGCGGCUUUGUAAGUUAGAGGUGAAAGCCCGGGGCUCAACUCCGGAACUGCCUUUAAGACUGCAUCGCUUGAAUCCGGGAGAGGUGAGUGGAAUUCCGAGUGUAGAGGUGAAAUUCGUAGAUAUUCGCAAGAACACCAGUGGCGAAGGCGGCUCACUGGCCCGAUACUGACGCUGAGGCACGAAAGCGUGGGGAGCAAACAGG